rnacentral:rRNA from 1 species
CAUGGCUCAGAUUGAACGCUGGCGGCAUGCCUUACACAUGCAAGUCGAACGGUAACAGGUCUUCGGAUGCUGACGAGUGGCGAACGGGUGAGUAAUACAUCGGAACGUGCCCAGUAAUGGGGGAUAGCUCGGCGAAAGCCGGAUUAAUACCGCAUACGCCCUGAGGGGGAAAGUGGGGGACCGCAAGGCCUCACGUUAUUGGAGCGGCCGAUGGCUGAUUAGCUAGUUGGUAGGGUAAAGGCCUACCAAGGCGACGAUCAGUAGCUGGUCUGAGAGGACGAUCAGCCACACUGGGACUGAGACACGGCCCAGACUCCUACGGGAGGCAGCAGUGGGGAAUUUUGGACAAUGGGGGAAACCCUGAUCCAGCAAUGCCGCGUGUGCGAAGAAGGCCUUCGGGUUGUAAAGCACUUUUGUCAGGGAAGAAAUCCUUUGGGCUAAUACCCUAGGGGGAUGACGGUACCUGAAGAAUAAGCACCGGCUAACUUCGUGCCAGCAGCCGCGGUAAUACGAAGGGUGCAAGCGUUACUCGGAAUUACUGGGGCGUAAAGCGUGCGUAGGUGGUUCGUUAAGUCUGAUGUGAAAGCCCUGGGCUCAACCUGGGAAUGGCAUUGGAUACUGGCGGACCUAGAGUGCGGUAGAGGGGGUGCGGAAUUCCCGGGUGUAGCAGUGAAAAUGCGUAGAUAUCGUGAGGGAACAUCCGUGGCGAAAGGCGGCACCCUGGACCAGCACUGACACUGAGGCACCGAAAGCGUGGAAGCAACAGGAUUAAGAUACCCUGGGUAGUCCCACGCCUAGACGAAUGCGAACUGGAUGUUGGGAGCAACCUGGGCACUCCAGCUAUCCGAAAGCCUACGCCGUGAAAGUCCGCCCGCCUGGGGAAGGAACCGUCCCGCGAAGACAUGGGAAACCUGCAGAGAGAAUUUGGACCGGAGGAGCCGUC